GACGAACGCUGGCGGCGUGCCUAACACAUGCAAGUCGAACGGAACUGUUUUGAAAGUUUUCUUCGGAAUGAAUCUGAUUUAGUUUCAUGGCCGACGGGUGAGUAACGCGUGAGUAACCUGCCUUCAAGAGGGGAAUAACAUUCUGAAAAGAUUACUAAUACCGCAUCACAUAUCGGAACCACAUGGCUUUGAUAUCAAAGAUUUUAUCGCUUGCAGAUUGACUCGCGUACGAUUAGUUAGUUGGUGAGGUAACGGCGCACCAAGACUGCACUCGGUACCCGGACUGGGAGGCUGACCCGCCGAAUACAGAGGGACGCACGGCCCAGGAACCGGCAGGAGGGAGCAGAGAGGGUGAUCGCGCAAUGGGAGCAAAGCUGACGCAGCCCCGCCGCGUGAAGGAUGCUCGUUCUCGGACUCCAAGCUUCUCCUAUUAUGGACGCAUAAUGACGGUACUUAAUGAAAAAGCUCCGGCUAACUACGUG
rnacentral:rRNA from 1 species